ensembl:snRNA U1 U1 spliceosomal RNA
UAACUUACCUGUCAGAGAGAUUUCAUGAGCAAAAAGCAGUUUUCCCAGGGCAAGAUUUAUAUAUUGUACUCCAAAUGUGCUGACCUCUACAAUGUCCACAACUAUGAAAAACUUGACCAUAUAAUUUGUGGUUCUAGAUAAUCACAUUCAUGCUCUCAC